GCACCGCCAACAGCAGGCAGGCUCGCACAAUGUCACCAUUGACGCGAACGGUACAUGCACCACAAACGCCAUGCUCGCAACCGACAUGCGUUCCGGUAAGGGACAGAUGCUCCCGCAGGAAAUCAGCCAGAUUGAGCCGAGGAAGCACGCUCGCGGACACGCGCUCUCCGUUCACGAUCAGGGAGAUCGGCAUUAGAUCAGUCAUGCGAGCUUUCUCGUUUCGAGAUCGGGCCGGCCGAGCAACGUCACAACGCACUGCUCCAAAAGCUGACGCGCCAGAUAGC
rnacentral:misc_RNA from 1 species